rnacentral:pre_miRNA from 1 species
AACCUUUUGAAUCCGUGCUCAGAUUUCGUCAGACACCGACCCAUUAAGGCUGAUCGGACUCCCAAGAUAGGUGAGGUC